rnacentral:snRNA from 1 species
GUGCUUGCCUCAGCAGCACACAUACUAAAAUUGGAACGACACAGAGAAGACUAGCAUAGUCUUUGUGUAAGGAUGACAUGCAAAUUUGGGAAGCAUCCCAUAUUUUG